rnacentral:rRNA from 1 species
ACUGGAGGCAGCAGUGAGGAAUAUUGGUCAAUGGACGAGAGUCUGAACCAGCCAAGUAGCGUGCAGGAUGACGGCCCUAUGGGUUGUAAACUGCUUUUGUACGGGAAUAAAGUGACCUACGUGUAGGUUUUUGCGUGUACCGUAAGAAUAAGGACCGGCUAAUUCCGUGCCAGCAGCCGCGGUAAUACGGAAGGUCCGGGCGUUAUCCGGAUUUAUUGGGUUUAAAGGGAGCGUAGGCCGUGCUUUAAGCGUGUUGUGAAAUGUAGGCGCCCAACGUCUGCACUGCAGCGCGAACUGGAGCACUUGAGUACGCAGGAAGUAGGCGGAAUUCGUUGUGUAGCGGUGAAAUGCUUAGAUAUGACGAAGAACUCCGAUUGGGAAGCCAGCUUACUGUAGCGCCACUGACGCUGAUGCUCGAAAGCGUGGGUAUCGAACAGGAUUAGAUACCCUGGUA